AAUAAAAUUAGGUGGUUACAACAGAACACUGCUCAUUUUCUACUCUCUACAAAUGAUAAAACUAUAAAAUUAUGGAAAAGAAGCGGAUGAGAUAAAAGAGCAGAAAGUUAUAACUUGAAUGAUGAAGAUGGAUGACUUCAAGAUUCAUUUAGAAUUACAGCACUAUCAAUGACCUGAGGAUUAAUUUAUGACACUUAGAAAUCACACAUAGACAUUUUGACGUGGUAGACAUCAAACCUGCUAACCUGGAGCAGCUGACAGAAGUCAUUGUGGCAGCCAAGUUCCACUCAUACCAGUGCAAUGUGCUUGUCUACAGUAGUAGCAAAGGAACCAUUGACUAAGCAGCAUGGGCUCCUCGACCCUGUGCAACAGACACUCCAAGUUUUUUGAAGAGCCUCAAGAUCCCAGCAGUAGGUCCUUCUUCUCAGAAAUAAUUUCAUCCAUACCCAAUGUAAAAUGUAGCCAUAGUGGGCAGUACCUGAUGACCAGAGACUCCCUGUUGGUGAAGGUGUGGGACCUCAACAUAGAGAGCAGGCUGGGACCACACCGGGACCACGAGUACCUGCACAGCAAGCUCUGCUUUCUCUAUGAGAAUGACUGCAUCUUUGAUAGCUUUGAAUGUUGCUGGAAUGGUUCG
rnacentral:lncRNA from 1 species